AUUGAACGCUGGCGGCAGGCCUAACACAUGCAAGUCGAGCGGUAGCACAGAGAGCUUGCUCUCGGGUGACGAGCGGCGGACGGGUGAGUAAUGUCUGGGAAACUGCCUGAUGGAGGGGGAUAACUACUGGAAACGGUAGCUAAUACCGCAUAAUGUCGCAAGACCAAAGAGGGGGACCUUCGGGCCUCUUGCCAUCAGAUGUGCCCAGAUGGGAUUAGCUAGUAGGUGGGGUAACGGCUCACCUAGGCGACGAUCCCUAGCUGGUCUGAGAGGAUGACCAGCCACACUGGAACUGAGACACGGUCCAGAAUCCUACGGGAGGCAGCAGUGGGGAAUAUUGCACAAUGGGCGCAAGCCUGAUGCGGCCAUGCCGCGUGUAUGAAGAAGGCCUUCGGGUUGUAAAGUACUUUCAGCGGGGAGGAAGGUGCUGAGGUUAAUAACCUCAGCAAUUGACGUUACCCGCAGAAGAAGCACCGGCUAACUCCGUGCCAGCAGCAGCCGCAG
rnacentral:rRNA from 1 species